rnacentral:rRNA from 1 species
AGUGAACGCUGGCGGUAGGCCUAACACAUGCAAGUCGAACGGCAGCACCGUAAGAGCUUGCUCUUACGGGUGGCGAGUGGCGGACGGGGGCGGAAUACACCGGAAUCUACUUUUUCGUGGGGGCUAACGUCGGGUAACUUACGCUAAUACCGCAUACGACCUACGGGUGAAAGCAGGGGAUCUUCGGACCUUGCGCGAUUGAAUGAGCCGAUGUCGGAUUAGCUAGUUUGCGGGGUAAAGGCCCAGCAAGGCUACGAUCGGAAGCUGGUCUGAGAGGAAGGUCAGCCACACUGGAAGUGAGACACGUCCCAGACUCCUACGGGAGGAAACAGUGGGGAAUAUUGGAGGAUGGGCGCGUGCCUGAUCCAGCAAUACCGGGGAAGUGAAGAAGGCCUUCGGGUGGUAAAGUGCUUUUGUUGUGAAAGAAAUGCAGCAGGUUUAUACGCCGCGGUACUGACGGUACCCAAAGAAUAAGCACCGGCUAACUUCGUG